rnacentral:rRNA from 1 species
AAUCUUCCGCAAUGGACGAAAGUCUGACGGAGCGACGCCGCGUGAGUGAUGAAGGUCUUCGGAUCGUAAAACUCUGUUGUUAGGGAAGAACAAGUAUCGACCGAUUAAUCCGGUACCUUGACGGUACCUAUCCAGACAGCCCCGGCUAACUACGUGCGUGCAGCCGCAGUAAUACGUAGGGGGCAAGCGUUGUCCGGAAUUAUUGGGGGGAAAGGGCGCGCAGGCGGUCUUCUAAGACUGAUAGGGAAACCCGUAGCUUAACUACGAGCAGUCAUUGGAAAACGGGAGACUUAAAGACAGAAGAGGAGAGGUGAAUUCCACGUGUAGCGGUGAAAUGCGUAGAGAAGUGGAGGAACACCAGUGGCGAAGGCGACUCUCUGGUCUGUAACUGACGCUGAGGCGCGAAAGCGUGGGGAGCGAACA